AACUGGGUAUAAUACCCGAUAGGUCUCGAUUGCUGGAAUGCAUCGAGAUUUAAAGCUCCGGCGCCUAAGGAUGGGUCUGCGGCCUAUCAGGUAGUAGUGGGUGUAGCGUACCUACUAGCCUACGACGGGUACGGGUUGUGAGAGCAAGAGCCCGGAGAUGGAUUCUGAGACACGAAUCCAGGCCCUACGGGGUGCAACAAGCGCGAAAACUUUACAAUGCUGGCAACAGCGAUAAGGGAACCUCGAGUGCCAGGUUACAAAUCUGGCUGUCGAGAUGCCUAAAAAGCAUUUCAUAGCAAGGGCCGGGCAAGACCGGUGCCAGCAGCCGCGGUA
rnacentral:rRNA from 1 species